rnacentral:lncRNA from 1 species
ACCGCCAUCAAAAGGGUUUUGUGGAGAAGCUUAAAGUUCUUGGCUCCGAAAGCUUGCCCACAAAUGGGUUCCAUUGCAGCAGAGAUUCCGUAUAAAACAGCAAAACCAGUAGCGUUCGCAAAGGAAAACCCUAACGAGCCACCGGCUAGGUUAUGCUUGCCUUGACGGCCAAGAAACACAGAUGUACUUGUUAUCUUACCAAACCACAACAAGUUCAUAGCCACCAAUGGUAGGCCUAUUCUCAUUUGUACCUUGAGCUCAUGAAAAAUGCUCUGCAUCAACGUCUUUGAACAACACCCUUUGGAGACUUUCAAUCCAGAAGUCUCUAAAGAACACCCUUCAUAGGCUUCUGGAUGAAAAGUUUCUAACUUCGAUGUCUCUGACAUUUGUGUGUGUAGAAGAAGAGGAUAAUUUGGGGAAAGAGAAGUUAAUAAGUGAAGGAAUAAAAGGAAGAAAAAAACUUUGGGAGGUUUCAGCCAAUUUUUAGCAUGGCUUUGAGAAUUGCAUAGAUAAUUGCUUGCUUGCUUGUUUGUUGAUAAGAUCAACAACUCUGCAGGUGGAAAAUGGCUUUCAUGUUUUCGUGGAGGACUGUAAAUUGUAAAUUAAAAGCAUGGUUUGCGUGAGAGGUUGCGAUUUUCUGGAGAAAGUUAUUGUAACGCACAAGAAAAAGGGGUGGAAACAACUUGGUGGGUUUCCUAUGUACGUCUUAGUGCAUUGAUGAUGAUGAAACCAUAUCAGUCCCAUUUGCAAAAAAAAAUAAAUAUAUUUUUGAUUUUUGUUAUUUAAUCUUUAAAAAUUGAGCAGCUAAUAUUAUAAAUAUCAUCUUCUUAAAGAUUUCUAAACUUGAUUCCAGAUUUUGUUUCAGCUACUAUGCAAAAUUCUAUGAUGGUCAAAAGUAUAACUAUAAUGCACGGAUUAAGGCCCCGAUUAAUACUGGCAAACUGAUAGUUGAGCUAUUCCAUCUCUUCUUAGUACCGACUAGAAACUAUACUUUUUAUUUAUUUACAUAACUAUAAAUUUAUGAAACAAUAGAACACAUUAAAAAUACGAGGAAAAGUAAUAAAUAAUAAGAGUCAAAAGACAAGAAAAGAGAGGAUAUGCAACCUUGGCUUUCUAUUUUUCUUUAUAGAAAAGCAACAAAUAAUUGCAAUAAGGCAUAUAUAACUGUGUGAUGAAAAUUGAAAACAUCAUGAAUUUAAUAUACAAACUCCUUUUACGGAUCACUUGAUAUUUCAACUUUAUUUUGGUGCUUCUCAAAAGAGCUUUCGUCUAAAUUCUAUAAGAACCAAAAGAGAAAAAUAAAGGGUUCAAAAACAAUUUGACCAAAAAGGCUAAAAAAAAUAAUAAUAAUGGUUCGACUGGUUGGUACUUAUUUUUUUGAUAAAAAUAAUAAAAUUCAUUACCAAACUUUUAAGUUUUUUUACAGAACAACAGAAGAACCAAAAACCAGAAAAACUGAAAAUAAUUUAAACAUAGACUCAGACCUUGCUAAGAGAAUGAACCGACUACAAGUAAAACAACUAACUACCCGGUAAAAUCUGGCAUUUCCGUCCUUAAAGAUCUAUGUUGUCAAGAACUGCUCACGUAGCCCUUCUAAUCUGCAACCUCCAUGAACAGACAACGAUACUCGUGACCAAGUGCACCCGCUCACACUGAAUUGAGCUUUAUUCGGAUAAGAAACUACCAAAAGCCGCCACAGAUCACUGAACCUACACCAAAAAGACAGAGAAAGCAAGCACCACAUUGAGUUAAAAUGGACAGGAGGCAGUUAUUGAGAAAACAGAUUAUUUAUUUAUUUAAAAACUAAUUUUUGAGAAAAUUUAGAAAGAAAAGAUAUGACCCGUUUAUUUAUUUAUUUAUUUUUUAGGUAACAUGAUAAGGAUUUUCGCUGUUUUACCAUUAAAGUUAACAGUAUUAAAUCGGUGGGUGAACAUGAGUGACAAACUAUCAGUGUUUAUUUCAUACUAGGGUCGGUCCGGGCUACGCCCGAGUUUUUUAUUUAAAUUUUAAUUUUGAUUAUAUAUUUUGUAUAUUUAUUUAAUAUAUAUAUAUAGUAUAACCUAUUAUAAAAAUAUAAGUUAUUAAAUUAUUUAUAACUAUGCAUUUUUUGUCUUAUGAAUUGAAAAAUUUUAAUAUCCAAUUUUAAUAGGGCAAAUGUCCAAAAUAGCACCUUUCUAAGUUUAAUAUCCAAAUUUUAAUAUCCAAAUUUUUUUUAUAUUUUGUAAUUGGAAACUUUAUAUAAGGUAAAGAGAAAAAUUAAUUAAAUUUUAGUUAUGGUGUUUGAUUGGUUGGACUAUAGAUAUGUUUCAUUUCACUUACACCUUUUUAUAUCUUUUGUUUCCAAUUAGUUCUAAGCAAUUUAAUUGACCAUCCCCUUGAAAUCUACAAUCUUACUUAAUAUUUUAUUUCAAAAAUCAGCGGUUAAAAUGUUAUAAUAUUUUCUACAUCAAAAAUUUACAAUUACAUCAGUAAAAAAUUACAUACUAAAUUAUUUUAACAAAUUUUCUGCAUUUAUAACCAACUAAUCGGACCUAUAAUCUGAAUAUUUUUUUUAUCUCACUUAUAUAAGUUUUUCGAUUACAUAUUGUUAAAUGGACAACCCGAUAAAAUUUUAUUUAAGUUUUAGAACCAUUUAAUUCAUAACUUUAAUAGGUGUUUGAAUAUUUGUCUUUCCAAUUUUUUAUAUUCCGCUUCAUCAUGCAAUAUAUUUUGAUGUAAUUGCACCAUCUAUGUUUAUAUAUAUAUUGUUUCAAAAAAUAUCUUCUAUAUAUAUAUAUAAAGUGGAUAUAUAUAAUCAAUUUUGAACAAUGACCAUAAUCGUAUAACAAAUAAUCGUUACCAAAGUAUAACAAAUUUUGUGUUGUUGUUUUUAUUUAUAUUAUAGCAGUGAUGUCACAUGAUAAUGCACAAAUAUGUGAAACUCACGUUUCUUCUCUUUAAACAAAAAAAUAUAGACUGCCAAGCUAAGCUAUUAAAGUAUGUAUUGACCUGUGAAACUCAGGUUUUUUCGUUUUUGGGGUUUUUGCUUGUUCCAAGCAGCAGUAAAGUAAUUCACAGUUAACAAAAAACAGAUGAUACAUGAUAGAGCACCUCCAACAAUCUUGGAGGUUUAUGCUUGUUGCAACAACUAUUAGAUCAACACAGAAGCCUUCCAGGUGGUUGUGAAACGAUACAGCUUGAGAGUUGUGAGUGGAACAAACUCAAAGUCAGAGAAACAUCACUAACAAUGGAAAAUCAGAGAAAGAUCUGUUCAGACAUUUUGUUUCUUUUCUUUAAAACGUAUGAAAGUGAUAAGGACCACAAUAUGAAUCAAAUACCUGUCGAUUUUAAUUGUUGCCAUAACAUGACUGAGCACCUCGAACAAUCUUGAGGUUUAUGCUUGUUGCAACAUCAUCAUAACUGGGAGCAGCUGGAGCCUUCCGGUCAUGACACGAUUUUUUCCUUGUGUAGGGUCACUCACAAUACUCUUCACAGCUGUGAGCUCACAGAUAAGGUCUACAAAGAAAUCAAGAUGUCAAUAUCUAAUCACUUUCCAAUGUUGAUCCUGGGAUAAAGAGAUAUGAAGAUGAUUACCGGGAAGGUGUGUGUUCCUGUUGGCCAGCCAAAGUACCUCACUGUGAUUAUGGAACUUGAAGCGCUCUUUAGGAAUUGGUAGAACCGUAUCUCUUCAAAUUCAGUUGAAACACUGAACCGUAAAAGUAGAGGUGAGUCAGAGAUCCUGUAAUUCUGAUUGCAGCGAGUUAUAUCAAAUCAGUCAAAGGAGUACAUCAAACCUGCCUUAAAAUGAUGCCGGUAAGCCGUGAGACGGUGGCGGUAUGAGGGUUGCUUUGAAACAUUAAAAAAAUGAAAAAAUAAUCAAUAAGGGGAUUCAACACCAUCAAUCAGAAAGGAUUAAUAUAUUGUUGAAAACAUAAGCUUGAUAAGAUUAUAAAUGCUGUCCAAAACCGAGGAUGAUAAUAAGUUUAGAAAUCGGAAGAGAAAGAAAGCACCACCUUGAGUUAAAGUGGACAGGAGGCAAUCCUAGAUAUCGUCCAUGAAAGCAAGCACCACCUUGAGUUAAAAUGGAAAUCAUAUGCAUGAAAAUAUGAUAUCAUCGUUCGUACUGAUAUGAUUGCCACUCUUUCAUCGAAUUAAAGAUCGCAAGAUUGCAACUUUAGGUGAAACAUUUUCUCAGAAGGAUAAUUUAGAAAUAACUACUGCUUUAGAAUCAGAGACGUUUAGACUUUUAUACGUUAAUAGCCCUAGUUAUCACAACUUGACAAGUAUGCAACAAAGGCUCAUUUAUUUGUGCCGGACCAUCAAAGAGUAUUUCAACGUCUGUCCGACACAUUAGGCAACAGAACAUGUUAUUACUGCCGAGUCGAUCCAUUUGAAUAAAUAGGAAAAAUAAAAGUAAAAAUGAGCUUUCUUCUAACCUACACAACAUUAAGUGAGUCUAUAUAUGACUGUGAAGCUCAAACAAUUGUAUUGCAUCACUACUGAGAGCAUUUCUUGAAACCGCGGGGAAAAUUAAACAUGUGAUCCUUGGCUAACGAACAUAAUGAUUAGGGGUGGGCAAAAAAACCGAACCGAACCGAACCAACCGAACCGAAUCCGAUUCAAACCGAACCAAAGUCUAUUUUAAACCAUUCGGUUGAAGAUUUCCCCAACCCGAAUGGUUUGGUUCGGUUUAAACCGAACCGAACCGAGAAACCGAUGUAUCUUUGUAAUUAUUUAAAUUUAAAAUAUUACAUAUACCAAUAUACUAAAAUUCUAAUACUAAACCACAUACUUUUCAUUUUAUAUUCAUUAACAUAAAUUCUUCUAACCUAAUAUGUAAUCGUCAAAAUAUUUGAUUUAAAAUAUUUCAUUCAUUGCAAGCUUUUGAAUUUUAAUGAUAUAAGAUAUAUUACUAAUGAUGUUGAUUUUUUUUACUUUAGUUAACUUUCAUUUGUUUUAAUUUUUAUAUACUUUUGUGAAUUUUAAAAAAAAAUUGUUUCAGUUUUAUAUUGAAUUUAGUUUAUAUAGUUUAUGUUUACAUAAUUUAUGUUUUAAAACAUAAUUUCUUUUAGAAAAAUCAAACUAAGAAGAAUCUAAUUAAACUGGUCCAAAAAACAAACCGAACCGAAUAUAAACUGAACCGAAUACAAACUGAACCAAAUAUAAACCGAACCGAACACAAACCGAACCAAACUAACUAUGGUUUACUUCAGUUGAAAAAAUGCUAGAACCGAACUAACCAAACCGAACCGAACCCGAACCGAACCGAAAAAAUAACCGAAGUGCAUGUCCACUCCUAUUAAUGAUGCUUCUGUUGAUAUGUCGUUUGAUAUGUAUAAGGCUUUUUAAUCAAAAUUAUUGGAGAAAGUUAAACGAAUAUUUUGCUGAAAUAACUUAUACCUAUAAUAAUUUCUAGAAAAACUAAAGUUAAAAUUUAAAUAUUGGAGAACGUAAAGAAAAUUACAUGUAUCUUCGGAGAAGUACGAUCUGGGAAAGCAAAAUCUGACUACAAAACUCAUGUCUUCAUAUAUAUUUUAAGUUAUCUUUCAGUUACGUACUAGUAUUUUAUAGUAAUAUGAUUAAGAAGAGAUAAUUAAAAAUUGCUGGUUGGCAGAAUUAAGACAAUUGCUGUCCAGAAACAUUUUUGUGAGCCAAUAGCGGAAGAGAGAUUACCGUUCAAUAUAUAUUUAAAAUCUUAAUUGAAUUUAACCCUCGACGAGCUCCUGAAAAGUUGGACGACUAACUUAUAAUUAUUGCACAAACCAAUAUAAUCAAAAGACCAUUAUUGUUCAUAAUGCAAGAUUCCAUUCAGACUGUGUUCAACAUUUUAGUUAAGAUGAAGGUUUCUUUCUAUAUCCUAAACCUAAACUGAUCCAAAAACGCCACAAUUUGCAUACUAGAUUAAGAUCUCAACUCAAACAAAAACUAUUACAUGUUAAAUUUCGUUUCACUUCGACCACUGUUAUUCCUAAAUCAAAGCUCCAAACAAGCAUAUUUUUAAUAUCUAACAAUCAUAUUCUUAUAUAAUAUCAGAAGUCUUUUUUAUUAGAAGUAUCAGUUUUGUAAACUAAAAUUUCUUUAAUAGAACCUAACUAUUAGCCGAUGUUUGGAGUACUAUCCACCCCAAACAAGAACACAGUUAGAGAUUUUAAUAUUUUAAUGGCGAUCUACUCAAAAGAGUGUGAUUGUAUCUAUGAAAUGCGUAUGUAUAUACGGCAGAUAUAACUUUACUGAUAACACUGAGAUUCCUAAUGGAAAGAACCCUUGAAUCAUGUGAGGUUUCUUUGAGCGUUAGUUUGUCGUUAGCUUAAGUUCCAACUAGGCCAACUAAAUGGUCCUCAGAGAACCCACUUGAUCACUAAUUAACCCACAUGCCCCCCCCUGAUGAGGAUCUUGUCAACGUUUAGCCACAAGAGAGAUAUAGGGAUUGAUAUCAAGAGAAGCAAGAACACCGCCAUCAAAAGGGUUUUGUGGAGAAGCUUAUAGUUCUUGGCUCCGAACGCUUGGCCACAUAUGGGUUCCAUUGCAGCAGAGAUUCCGUAUAAAACAGCAAAACCAGUAGCGUUCGCAAAGGAAAACCCUAACGAGCCACCGGCUAGGUUAUGCUUGCCUUGACGGCCAAGAAACACAGAUGUACUUGUUAUCUUACCAAACCACAACAAGUUCAUAGCCACCAAUGGUAGGCCUAUUCUCAUUUGUACCUUGAGCUCAUGAAAAAUGCUCUGCAUCAACGUCUUUGAACAACACCCUUUGGAGACUUUCAAUCCAGAAGUCUCUAAAGAACACCCUUCAUAGGCUUCUGGAUGAAAAGUUUCUAACUUCGAUGUCUCUGACAUUUGUGUGUGUAGAAGAAGAGGAUAAUUUGGGGAAAGAGAAGUUAAUAAGUGAAGGAAUAAAAGGAAGAAAAAAACUUUGGGAGGUUUCAGCCAAUUUUUAGCAUGGCUU